rnacentral:rRNA from 1 species
CAAUAGCGUAUAUUAAAGUUGUUGCAGUUAAAAAGCUCGUAGUUGGAUUUCUGGUUGAAGCGACCGGUCGGGCGUUGAUUCGUCUGCACUGGAGUCGGUUUUGGCCAUCCUCUAGGAAAGUGCGUCUGGUAUUAAGUUAUCGGGCGUAUGAUCCUGGUCUUUUACUGUGAAAAAAUUAGAGUGUUUAAAGCAGGCCUUCGCCUUGAAUACAUUAGCAUGGAAUAAUAAGAUAGGACUUUGGUCUAUUUUGUUGGUUUGCAGACCGAAGUAAUGAUUAAUAGGGAUAGUUGGGGGUAUUUAUAUUCCGAUGUCAGAGGUGAGAUUCUUAGAUUUUCGGAAGAUAAACUUAUGCGAAAGCAUUUACCAAGGAUGUUUUCAUUAA